GAUCAUGGCUCAGGAUGAACGCUGGCGGCGUGCUUAACACAUGCAAGUCGAACGAAGCACUUAAUGAGAUUUCUUCGGAUUGAUAUUUUGUGACUGAGUGGCGGACGGGUGAGUAACGCGUGGGUAACCUGCCCCAGACCGGGGGAUAACAGUCGGAAACGACUGCUAAUACCGCAUAAGCGCACAGUGCCGCAUGGCACGGUGUGAAAAACUCCGGUGGUCUGGGAUGGACCCGCGUCCGAUUAGUUAGUUGGUGGGGUAACGGCCACCAAGACUGCGAUCGGUAGCCGACCUGAGAGGGUGACCGGCCACAUUGGGACUGAGACACGGCCCAGACUCCUACGGGAGGCAGCAGUGGGGAAUAUUGCACAAUGGAGGAAACUCUGAUGCAGCGACGCCGCGUGAGCGAAGAAGUAUUUCGGUAUGUAAAGCUCUGUCAGCAGGGAAGAUAAUGACGGUACCUGACCAAGAAGCCCCGGCUAACUACGUG
rnacentral:rRNA from 1 species